AAUCAACGCUGGCGGCGUGCCUCAGACAUGCAAGUCGAACGCGAAAUUUCCCUUCGGGGAGAAAGUAGAGUGGCGCACGGGUGAGUAACACGUAGGUAAUUUGCCUUUGGGUGGGGAAUAACUCAGGGAAACUUGAGCUAAUACCGCAUAAUGCAGCGGCUCGACAUCGAGACAGUUGUUAAAGCGGGGGAUCGCAAGACCUCGCGCCUGAAGAGAAGCCUGCGGCAGAUUAGCUAGUUGGUAAGGUAAUGGCUUACCAAGGCGACGAUCUGUAACCGGCCUGAGAGGGCGGUCGGUCACACUGACACUGACAUACGGGUCAGACUCCUACGGGAGGCAGCAGUCGGGAAUUUUGGGCAAUGGGCGCAAGCCUGACCCAGCAACGCCGCGUGAAGGAUGAAAUC
rnacentral:rRNA from 1 species